GGGUCGUUAGCUCAGUUGGUAGAGCAGUUGGCUUUUAACCAAUUGGUCGCUGGUUCGAGUCCAGCACGACCCA
rfam:Microbulbifer thermotolerans strain DAT221, complete genome.